CCUACGGGUGGCAGCAGUGGGGAAUAUUGGACAAUGGGGGGAACCCUGAUCCAGCCAUGCCGCGUGUGUGAAGAAGGCCCUCGGGUUGUAAAGCACUUUCAGUGAGGAAGAAUGCCUGGUGGUUAAUACCCAUCAGGAAAGACAUCACUCACAGAAGAAGCACCGGCUAACUCCGUGCCAGCAGCCGCGGUAAUACGGAGGGUGCGAGCGUUAAUCGGAAUUACUGGGCGUAAAGCGCGCGUAGGUGGCUUGAUAAGCCGGUGGUGACAGCCCCGGGCUCAACCUGGGAACGGCAUCCGGAACUGUCAAGCUAGAGUGCAGGAGAGGAAGGUAGAAUUCCCGGUGUAGCGGUGAAAUGCGUAGAGAUCGGGAGGAAUACCAGUGGCGAAGGCGGCCUUCUGGACUGACACUGACACUGAGGUGCGAAAGCGUGGGUAGCAAACAGGAUUAGAUACCCGUGUAGUC
rnacentral:rRNA from 1 species